CUCUCUUGCUCACUUCCAAUAGGAAUUAACACAACUGGCAGAAGCCCAACCCCAGGCAAUAGAACCACCUUUAUUUAAUCUAGGAAAUUUGGUAUUAGUAAAAACCCUCAUCUCUCGCUCCUUCCCUAAGCCAAGCUGGGAAGGGCCCUACACUGUUCUUCUUUCAAACCCCUCAGCAGUAAAAGUUACAGGAAUCAACUCCUGGGUACAUCACACUCAAGUAAAAGCAUGAAGAGCUGAGGGAGCAACCCAUGACAGCACAGAGGAAUGUCCUGAAUAUUAAUGUAAAGAAAUAGAAGAUCUUAAGCUGAAAAUCAUAAAAGGGCUUCCUCUCUGUCUCUUCUUGGAUCCAAACCACAGCAACUCAAUCACAAAGUUGCUGAAUGCAGAUGCCAGACCGAGACUUCCGUCUCUUGUUUCAUAAGUCUUCUGCCAGUCAAACAGCCCGAAGCCAAUGACACAAGAGCCUGUGAAACAAAGUGAGAGAGCAGGAUGGAGGAAGGGCAAGGUGUGGGUCUGAGGGGAACAGACCCAGGAUCUGUUCAUCCACUCUGCCUUUUGCCACCAUGCUGGAUCAGGCUUUCUCACCAUGUGAUGCCUUCCACCAUGUUAUGACACAACCAGAAGGCCCUCACCAGAUGUGGACCCUAACUCUUGGACUUCCUAGCCUCUAGAACAGUGAGCCAAAUAAACUUCUGUUCCAGGACUUUUCCUUAGUUCAGCUAAAGAUGGGGGCCCUUGCCACAAAGCCAUGAAAAUUUAGGCUCACAGACAAUUUGAAGGGCCGUUCUACUUCCACACUGUCCAUCCUGACUCUGGACGACGUCACAAGCCCCUUAUGUCAUUGCUCAGCUCUCCUGCCUCCUUAAGAGAUUUGGAAAAGAUUAAGAUGGCUAAAGACCAAGGUGAUGAGGACUGGAUGGGAAGAUCUUAGUCAUGCAAGACUACCUUAUGCCCAUAAAGAUAUUUGGGAAUUUGCCUGAAGAGUAAAGAAAAAUGAUCAAAUCAGACUCUCCAUCAAUUGUGUGCUGUGUGCAACAUUGAGAUACUACCUGAGACUGCGUAAUUUAUAAACAACAACAAAAAAAUUGGCUCACAGUUCCAUACCUCAGGAUACCUCAGGAAACUUACAAUCAUCGCAGAAGGUGAAGGAGAAGCAAG